CGUAGGUGGCAAGCGUUGUCCGGAAUUAUUGGGCGUAAAGCGCGCGCAGGCGGUUCCUUAAGCCUGAUGUGAAAGCCCCCGGCUCAACCGGGGAAGGUCAUUGGAAACUGGGGAACUUGAGUGCAGAAGAGAAGAGCGGAAUUCCACGUGUAGCGGUGAAAUGCGUAGAGAUGUGGAGGAACACCAGUGGCGAAGGCGGCUCUUUGGUCUGUAACUGACGCUGAGGCGCGAAAGCGUGGGGAGCAAACAGGAUUAGAUACCCUGGUAGUCCACGCCGUAAACGAUGAGUGCUAAGUGUUAGAGGGUUUCCGCCCUUUAGUGCUGCAGCUAACGCAUUAAGCACUCCGCCUGGGGAGUACGGCCGCAAGGCUG
rnacentral:rRNA from 1 species